rnacentral:rRNA from 1 species
UACUAGAGUAGCACUCGCAUAUCAAUAAGCGGAGGAAAAGAAACUAACAAGGAUUCCCCUAGUAACGGCGAGUGAAGCGGGAAGAGCUCAAAUUUGAAAUCUUAAAGGGUUUCCCUUUACGAAUUGUAGUUUAAAGAAGUGUUUUCUGUUGAGGUUUUGGUAAAAGUUCUUUGGAAUAGGACAUCAUAGAGGGUGAGAAUCCCGUAUUUGACCUUUACUUUCAACUUUGUGAUACACUUUCAAAGAGUCGGAUUGUUUGGGAAUGCAGUCCAAAAUGGGUGGUAAAUUUCAUCUAAAGCUAAAUAUUGGCGAGAGACCGAUAGCGAACAAGUACCGUGAGGGAAAGAUGAAAAGAACUUUGAAAAGAGAGUUAAACAGUACGUGAAAUUGUCAAAAGGGAAGCGUUUGACACCAGUGUUGUUUUUCUGAAAAUCAAUUAAAGAACUGUUUAUGCUAAGCUGUUUAGACUUUAUCAGCUAUCUGCUUAGUUUUGAGCUUUUCUUUAAUGCACUUUUCAGUUAACAAGUCAACAUCAAUUUCUUUUGCUGUAAAAAAGCUUGAGGAAGGUGGCUUGAGAUUCGUCUUAAGUGUUUAUAGCCUCUUGCCUAUGCAGUCGGAGAGAUUGAGGUCUGCAGCGUAGAUCCUUCGGGGCUAAAUGCAUUUGUGCUAAGUUAUAGCAUUUUAUAGACAACUUGUUGACUAUGAUUUGUCUUGUAGCUUACUCGCUUAUGUUAUUUUACCUACGCUUAGGAUGUUGAACUACUGAGACAUAGA